UACAGUAUACAACAGAGCUCAACAGUCCCACCCCUCCUCCGAGAGACCAUGGGUUCCAGAAGUAAAUUUCCCAUUCAUUUCUCCCAUGGACGUCUGGAAAAAUCUGUAGCCUACAUAAAGAGUUUUA